ensembl:lncRNA
GUGGGAAACAGAUUGAGAGAGUGUGUGUGUGAGUGUGUGUGUGUGUGUGUGUGUGUGUGUGUGUGUGUGUGUGUGUGAGAGUGUGUGAGUGUAUGUGUGUGUGUGAGUGUGUGUGUGUGUGUGGUGAUGGCAGUGUGGUGGCUGCAACGGUGAGGGAUUAGGGCAUACCCAGAGUGAAAGCGUGGUGGCCGGCAGACUGCGCUCGGGGGAGAGUCCUCUGAUUGCUCCCUGGCUCCCUGGCUCCUCGCUCGGACUAAUCUCCCCAGAUUGUUGUCGGUGGCCCGGCCACAGAUAAGAUGCCACUGGGAUUGGAUGGCGGGGGCCCUGCUUCCUGACACGGCCAUGACCGGAAAAUGCCUCUGCGCCCCUCCCAUUGCCAUCCAACGCGCCCCGCUUGCCCCCCCAGGAUAUUUAAUUUACCAGUGGAGGGCAUUGUGGGCUUUUUUUCUCUCUCCGUUCCCUUCCUCUUUUUUUUCAUUUUUUUCCCCUUCCUCUUCCUUCUUUUGGCCUUCCUCUUCAUCUUCUCAUCAGGAUUAUAAAAGGAUCUUAAAAGUAUCUGUACACGCUACUCUUUCAUACGCUUCUGGUUAUUGCAUUGCAAAUUCACAAGGCCUCUGGAGUCAUGUAAAUCGUUCAACAAAUGUCUUUGAAAAAGUGUGUCUGGAGGAGAGACGAAAGGAGGGGGCAGGGAUGAAGGGAUGAAGUGAAAAAGGGAAGUGCAGAGCUAGAAAAUUAUCUUUUUUCUCCCUUUUUUUCUUUCUCUCCCCUUUUUCAGAUCAUUAGAGUGUUUUAAUUAAAGGCUGCAGGAUUAGACCAGUUAGUUGAUGCCUACACUUUGACUAGAUUUCCUCCUUUUUUCACUUUCUUUCUUUUAUUCUUUUUUUUUUUGUCUUUUUUUUCACUUUUUUAGCCUCUCGUCUACUAUCUACAGGUACUACUAAGACUGAUUAAAGGGGGAAAGGGAGUUAGAGAAAGGAUGUGAAGACUUUCCUUUUUAUGUAUGUGUGUGUGUGUGUGCGUGUGUGUGUGUGUGUGUGUGUGUCAGAGUGCACGUGCUCUUCAGGUGAGAGUUCCCGACGGUGCAGCGAGUGAGCGAGCGAGCGAGCGCAGGGUAGCAUUAAAGCCUUUUACUGAAGAGUGGAGCGGGGAGAUCAAAGGCAUCCGCCCACGACAGCGCUGAUCUGAAGGAGAGCACUCCCUCUCGGCUGACACCAGCCCUGCGCUCGGGGAGUUAAGAGCUGAAUUUAAGCCUAUGUCAGAUCACCAUGUGCCCCCCCCCCACCCCUGCCGCUUUUACCCACCUGGGUCCUCACC